AUUGAACGCUGGCGGCAUGCCUUACACAUGCAAGUCGAACGGCAGCACGGGUGCUUGCACCUGGUGGCGAGUGGCGAACGGGUGAGUAAUACAUCGGAACAUGUCCUGUAGUGGGGGAUAGCCCGGCGAAAGCCGGAUUAAUACCGCAUACGAUCUACGGAUGAAAGCGGGGGACCUUCGGGCCUCGCGCUAUAGGGUUGGCCGAUGGCUGAUUAGCUAGUUGGUGGGGUAAAGGCCUACCAAGGCGACGAUCAGUAGAUGGUCUGAGAGGACGACCAGCCACACUGGGACUGAGACACGGCCCAGACUCCUACGGGAGGCAGCAGUGGGGAAUUUUGGACAAUGGGCGAAAGCCUGAUCCAGCAAUGCCGCGUGUGUGAAGAAGGCCUUCGGGUUGUAAAGCACUUUUGUCCGGAAAGAAAUCCUUGGCCCUAAUACGGUCGGGGGAUGACGGUACCGGAAGAAUAAGCACCGGCUAACUACGUG
rnacentral:rRNA from 1 species